rnacentral:rRNA from 1 species
UACGAAGGGGGCUAGCGUUGUUCGGAAUUACUGGGCGUAAAGGGCGCGUAGGCGGUGUGUCAAGUCAGGCGUGAAAGCCCCGGGCUCAACCUGGGAACCGCGCUUGAGACUGGCACGCUCGAGUUCGGGAGAGGAAUGGUGGAAUUCCCAGUGUAGAGGUAGAAAUUCGUAGAUAUUGGGAAGAACACCGAUGGCGAAGGCAGCCAUCUGGACCG